UGGGCCUCAAAUAAUGUGU
rnacentral:rRNA from 5 species